rnacentral:sRNA from 1 species
CAAGCCCGUACACUUGCAUAUGUAGGUUAACUGACUGAUCACUUAAAUGAUUUUAUGAGUAGCGGGUCUUUAUGCAAAAAUUAAAACCUUUAAAAUAUUCAAAUUCUGCAGCACAGUACCUGAGCACACAAGCGGAAACACCAUCAGGGUCCGAUAGGCUUGAUUGUGUUAAGGCCGCCGAGUCGCGAACUUUCAGUACUAAAAGGAUAUAAGAUGUAUAUGACUUUUGGAACUGAUGAGAAUUCUCUUGAGGGAGACCUACCAGACCUCACUAGAUGACAAAGAGCGACGCAGAUGUCAAACAGCGAGUGCGAGCUAUCAUAAAAUAGUUUAAUGGCAACAUCAAUGUCUGUAGUUGGGACUAAGUUGGCUGAAAGGGAUCUUCAGGAAGGAUAUGCUUCCAACAGAUAUGCUUUCUUGGCACCACCCCAUAAGGCCGAAGACAUAGGACUAUCGAAUCAGUGGCUGAGCAGCCCAUUUCAUCUCUAGAAGGAAACCGAAAAAUGCAAAGAACAAUGCCCCCACAUCGUGCUGAUUAGAAUAGACGACGUCCAACUUGGGUAGGACUAUGUGGCUCCUAGCCAAUAAUGUGCCCACCUACAGGGACAUCGUACAGAAACUGGAAGAAUAAAAAAUUAAGUUAUACUUAUAUCAGCUGCAGGAGGAUAAGCCCUAUCGCAUAGUAACCACGGAGGCCUGUGGUGGACCACUCCACACCGAGGGCUCAUCACCUGCAGAGCCAGGGUCAUACCGUUCUCUACGUACACUAUCCGAACAGCAGUCACCAAGGGGCCCAUGAAUAUUCACUUUUUUAACUUGCUGUCGGCGGCUAACAGCAAGGGGGCUCUUACCAUCAGGAAGCUGUGCAGCAGGUGGUCAAGUUCGAGACUACUCGAAGCCGGGAUGUGGUGCAAUGCCAUAGAUCUCAGGAGUACGGGCAUACGGCCACAUACUGUGGGAAAAAACACAAAUGCGUUAAAUGUAAGCUGGAUCAUCGAACUGCUGAUUACGCACGGCUCAAUGAAGUUUCGGCAACAUGCGCCCACUGUGAUGGUAACCACCCUGCCAACUAUAAGGACUGCGAGUGCUUCGCUGAAUAUAUAAUGCGGUAGCCCUAACAGCCGCUGCCACCAGAAGGGGACUAGCUGCAUUCAGCAAAGAGAACAACGCCCCAGCUAUAGCCUGCGAAAAGGACCAGUGCACGCGACUUUUGAUUGCUGAAUGAAUAUUGACUCCUUAUAACCUGCAGCAACCCGUUGGGCCCAAAGGGUAAAUGUUUGGCAAGCCCGUACACUUGUAUAUGUAGGUUAACUGACUGAUCACUUAAAUGAUUUUAUGAGUAGCGGGUCUUUAUGCAAAAAUUAAAACCUUUAAAAUAUUCAAAUAUACCAAACAAAAACAAGUAAGAGGUUCUAGUCGGAAGAUCCCGUUUAGGGGAUACUCUGAACUCUCUUAUUCCAACACCAAAUGCAGCUCGCGCUACGCGCUCGUUUGUAUUAAAAAGGAUAAUAUAAAAAAAUGUUACAUUGCUUGCUGACGACUCACCAGCCAAAAAAAAAAGUUUCUCCGGUUGGGCUCGAGCUCGCGACAGACCGCACCACAUGCCACCGCCUCUACUCAAAAGCCACACCAAAAGUUGAAUUUCAGUGAGAAAAAACGAAUUUAAAUGGCAGCACAGAAAACAAUACAAUGGGAAUUACAAUGAUAGAAUUCAAAUUAUAUCUAUUUUAUAGUAUAUAAUUAUAGUAUUAAUAAUUUUAUUGCCUUAUAUUAAUAAGCUUUUUCAUUCACUGUUCAAUUCCAGCCCGAGGUAAUGAACACGAACAUAAUUAAAUUUUAUGUUGCACCUAUGAACUGUUCAUUCACACCAUUUCGUGUGUGUGUCUCUGUUUAGAGCUCGAAAUUCAGAAACCCCAAAAACUUCAUAUCUUGUCGAAGUCAGGUAACAGGUACAUAUGUAUAAAUGUUUCUAUUCAUAAACAAAAUAAGUGUGUGUGCUGGAAUAGCAGGUCCAAGGAAUAUUAAAUGCACACAUUCCAACGCUCAGGUACCCUUACUAUCGAUACCGAGCAUAAAUACAAGAACUUCGCAACGACAUGGCACAACCCUUCAUUAUUUCAUAUAACUCGUCCCUUCAAAAGGGCAGAAAUGAUUCCGACAUUAGAUAAAAAAUUGAAUUUGUGUGUAUUGUUGCUCGUGCGGAAACAUACACACACAUACAUAAUGAAGUAGCACUGAGAGUAAGACAAUGCAGUUUCCUGAAGUGGGGUCGAAAUAAAAAAUGGCGAUGCCUUUCUAUUGCACAAAUCAUAAGUAUGAAAGUAAGCCAAAGCAGCUUCCUGUAGUGGGAGCGAGAAAAAGACAGCGAUGCCGUUCUACUACACAAAUCAUAUGUAUUACUUACUCCCCUUGCUGUCUAAGCAUGCAUCAUAGUUAGGGCAGCAAUCUCCCCUGUUCUCAAAAUGAAGGUGGGUGUCCCUUAAGGAAACGUAUUAGGCACCUUUCUCUACAAUUUGUACACGGCAGACAUCCCCACUCUGUAUGACAUACUCGUGUUUGCUACCCCAAGCCAACACCUGAUGGCCACUGCGAGAAUGAAGCCACUGACGGGGCCAACGAAUACAAUCACUUGCUUGAGAGAUGGGCACGAAGGUGACGAGGAGACGAUGCAGUCUUUUCAUAUUUUUCCACGAUAAAGCCUCAUGGCCCAACCAAGCUUGACGAAAUAUCACACGAGACAAUCUAAUAAACGUUUAUAAUAAAAAGGGAGAAGAUGAACGUACUAAGGGAGAAUUUAAUGAUUUGGUAUUGGAUUAGAGCUCUAUUAAAGCGUUAGCAUCGCGAUUAAAGGAGCGAAACAUCAACGGAACCGAUGAAGGAUGAGCCUUCUAUUUGGAAUGACUUCUGCGAA